CCUACGGGUGGCAGCAGUGAGGAAUAUUGGUCAAUGGGCGCGAGCCUGAACCAGCCAAGUCGCGUGAGGGAAGACGGUCCUAUGGAUUGUAAACCUCUUUUGUCGGGGAGCAAAAGACGCCACGCGUGGCGUUCCGAGAGUACCCGAAGAAAAAGCAUCGGCUAACUCCGUGCCAGCAGCCGCGGUAAUACGUAGGUGGCAAGCGUUGUCCGGAUUUACUGGGUGUAAAGGGCGUGCAGCCGGGAGGACAAGUCAGAUGUGAAAUCCCGCGGCUCAACCGCGGAACUGCAUUUGAAACUGUUUUUCUUGAGUACCGGAGAGGUCAUCGGAAUGCCUUGUGUAGCGGUGAAAUGCGUAGAUAUAAGGAAGAACACCAGUGGCGAAGGCGGAUGACUGGACGGCAACUGACGGUGAGGCGCGAAAGCGUGGGGAGCAAACAGGAUUAGAUACCCGAGUAGUC
rnacentral:rRNA from 1 species